rnacentral:lncRNA from 1 species
GUGGAGCAGGUAUAGGUGGUGGUCGUGGAGGUGGAGGAGGAAUUGGCAUAGGAAUUGGUAUCGGAAUUGGUGUUGGUGUAGGAGCUGGAGCUGGCCAAGGAACUGGUACCGGCAUUGGUUCUGGUAGUGGUGGAGGGGGUGGUGCUAAACAUUAAACAUGGAUGCAUGAUCGAUGCUAUGUAACUUUAGCCAAAAUAUUUACAAUUUACAAUGUACGUACCUCAAAAUGAGUUGUUCAUGUGCAAUAGCAAGUCUUUUAUGUGAUUACUUUCAUAUAUUAUUUGAUUGAUCAGUUUAAAGUUUGUAAAACUCUUAUCACAAUUAAUGAAGAUUUUGGAUUCUUGU